GGUGAGAACAGAGGGAUGAAGGCAAGAAUAAAGACAGUAGGAGAUGGAAAGGAAAGAGGGGGGCAGUGCAUUAAAUAAAGAAGGUAGAGACUCAAAAGUGGAAGAGGAAAGGAAAGAGUGUGAGGCAAAGUUCCGACACUCUCAGUAGAUAAUGACGUAGCACUUCUCUUCCCUUGGAUUCAGGGACAAGUGGCUUGGAGGCCUACGAGGUCAAUCACAGGAAACAAAGGCCAAAACGCUGCGUGCAAAAACCAACCUCAGGCUCUUUGAACGCAUCCAUGGUGAUGCGGAGCAGCUUGUAUUCACGGAGACAAAAGUCAAGCGUGGUCAGGUGAUAGUGAGAAGCCUGGUGGAAGAUGAGAAGGCCAGUUCUGAUGGAGCACUUGGACUGACGCACAGAUUGACACACAUCCAGCACAACCUGAACCUCUCGCUAUGUAGAAACUCUCAGAUCUCCCAGUGCCCCCCCCC
ensembl:lncRNA